UAACAAGGUCUUCGUAGGUGAACCUGCGGAGGGAUCAUUACCGAGUUAGGGUCCUCACAGGGCCCGACCUCCCAACCCUUUGUUUAUGAUACCUAGUGUUGCUUCGGUAGGCCUGGUCUCCGACCUGCCGGGGGGCCGUGAAACGCCCCGCCGGAGAGCGCCUGCCGACAGCCCCAACCUUUAAAAUUCUUAACCAAACGUGUCUUGUCUGAGUAAACGUCUUUUAAAUAAAAGCAAAACUUUCAACAACGGAUCUCUUGGUUCUGGCAUCGAUGAAGAACGCAGCGA
rnacentral:misc_RNA from 1 species